UACGUAGGGUGCAAGCGUUGUCCGGAAUUAUUGGGCGUAAAGAGCUCGUAGGCGGUUUAUUGCGUCGGCUGUGAAAUCCCGAGGCUCAACCUCGGGUCUGCAGUCGAUACGAGCAAACUAGAGUGUUGCAGGGGAGACUGGGAAUUCCUGGUGUAGCGGUGAAAUGCGCAGAUAUCAGGAGGAACACCGGUGGCGAAGGCGGGUCUCUGGGCAACAACUGACGCUGGAGGAGCGAAAGCGUGGGGAGCGAACAGG
rnacentral:rRNA from 1 species